rnacentral:rRNA from 1 species
UACGUAGGGUCCAAGCGUUAUCCGGAAUCACUGGGCGUAAAGCGUGCGUAGGCGGCGUGUUAAGUGUGAUGUUAAAUCGUGUGGCUCAACCAUACCGAUGCAUCACAUACUGGCAUGCUAGAGGAAGGCAGAGGCAAGUGGAAUUUGUAGUGUAGCAGUGAAAUGCGUAGAUAUUACAAGGAACACCAAUGGCGAAGGCAGCUUGCUGGGCCUUUUCUGACGCUGAGGUACGAAAGCGUGGGGAGCGAACAGG